rnacentral:piRNA from 2 species
UGAUCAAGAAGGGGUAACUGGGUGAU